rnacentral:rRNA from 1 species
UACGGAGGAUGCAAGCGUUAUCCGGAAUGAUUAGGCGUAAAGCGUCCGCAGGUGGCUGUGUAAGUCUGCUGUUAAAUAGUGAGGCUCAACCUCAUAAAGGCAGUGGAAACUACACGGCUAGAGUGCGUUCGGGGCAGAGGGAAUUCCUGGUGUAGCGGUGAAAUGCGUAGAGAUCAGGAAGAACACCGGUGGCGAAAGCGCUCUGCUAGGCCGCAACUGACACUGAGGGACGAAAGCUAGGGGAGCGAAUGGG